UGUUCCUCCACUCCAACUCCCCACCUCUCUGCUCCCCCCCCUCCCCCUUAGGCUUCCUUCCCGCUCAACCGCCCAACCGCUCAACCGCGUAACUGGGGUUCCCUACACCUGCCUCACAGGCUCAGCCAGGCAUUUGCAGUGUCUGUGCCUCUAGGGCGGAGGCCCUUCUAUUCUCUGAAAAGGGGGUCCUUGGGAGAGAAAGAGAAGUCCAUGGGGCCUUUAAGGGGCUUCAGAGGUACCAGGGAGCCUAAGUCUCUACAGCUGUCUGUGGAUUUCACCUGCACGCACAGGUAGGGUGCGCACACAUUCCCAGGGCUCUCCCGCCAGGACCACUGUCUGCGUACUUGGGGUGGGUGCGCAGGAGUACAUUAACGGCUCCUGCACCAAACUGCACUGGUCUUUAGAUACUGCAACGGGAGGUCUAAACUCCUUCCCUGCUGUCCCCACUGGGCAGAGGAAGAUGACAGGGUGUGUGUGGUGGGGGGAAGGGGGUGGAGGGAGACUAAGGCUCAGAGAGGGGUAGACACUUGGCCGAAACCCCACAGCAAUGGUGGAGCUGCUUCAAAUGCAUGACUCACCUGCUAUCUUGGUGGCUUCCCGGAGGAGGAGACAGUCACAAGAGUACUAAACCCUUGAGCAUGGGAGGCAGGAAGAGAUUUCUGGGGGGAGGGAAGGACUGCCCAAAUAAAGGCUAGGGGGAGGGUGGGGGGCCAGUAGGAAGGUGAGGCUGGUUGGAGCUAAGGCAAAUGUUGGGGUCCUGACAGAUGAGGCCAGAGUAGGGGUGGACAGGGGAUGGGCUUAGGCUGGCUGCGAUGGCUGGGGGAGGGAGGCUGCAGAGGCCCCUACAAAGCACACACAGGUUUCUUUGUCCAGCUCAGCCUGGAUGCCUCAGGCUGAGUCUGGGCCAGAGGGAGGGGGCUGCACCAGGGAAGCUGACAGAUGGAGACGCCUUGCAGGGUCCUGGGGCGGGCAGCACCGUCUGUCAGCACGACCUUCUCACCCGUGUUUACCCAGCUUCAUGGCGUCUCCGUGCACACGCAGGCACACAUCGGCACACACGUACACAGGCUCCCUGGGGUGGCACCAUCUGCAAGCCUGACCUCCUCCUCUGUGCAUGAGUGUUGGGCCUGGCCUCACCCUGUCUCUGAACACAGACACCUAGAAACAUGCACAGCCAGGGACCCACAGAGAUAUACAUGGCGAAAGAGACAGGUGCAAAAAUAGAAACCUCCACACGCGUAUGGAGGGGCACCUGCAGUGACAAGCACCUGUGGAAACAAGACUCAUGCAAGCAGAUCCAGAGGCAGUGCACACAGGCACUCCACACACAUGUGGAAACAUGCAGUCAGAGAUACACGUAUGCUGAGGCACGUGUACCCAGAGACACGGGAAAUGCAGAGACGUGUAGAGAAACACGAAGGAACGUCAUGAGUAGCGGGGCAGCUGGUUCCCCCAACCCCGGUGCACUCUAAGGAAACCAAGGCCACCUUAAGCCUUGUCCCUGAGGCAGCUCCAUCCUUUGUAGGGCUGGGGCCAAGACACCACCUAUCAAUUCAGAUGCCUUCCCCAGACCUACAGUCUCCCCGUCUCCCAGCUUCCAAGCAGUAAGCGGGGGCCUAGGGAGCCUUGGGCCCAUCUUCCUUCACAGCUUUCAGUCUCCAUUUUCAGCUUUUUCUAAGAGAAAACUCCCACCUCUUGCAGCACUCAGAUUUCAUCAAACUUGGCAUCUUAAAAGCCUGUUUUGUUUUUGAAUCUGAGCUGUUUGGGGCCUGUCAGCAGCGAGAGCCCAAGAGUGGUAGUGAGAGCGGAGAGCAGCCGUGGCCUCCCCCUCCUCCAGGGCUUCCCUGGCACCUCACACACCACCCUACUCAACCUGGUUGGUGAGGCCUCAGGGCCACACACACUCAAGUGAAUCCUGGGGCUGUCCCUGAGCACACACCUCAGCAGCACUCUGGCUUCCUGGGCCCUGGCCCAGGCUGGACUCGGCUCCUGGGGUUCCCCCACCUUGGCCCUACUCCAGGAAGAUUCUUUUCAUCCAUUUACCCCCCUAGGUUCAGACCACAGACAGCCUCCCACUUACUCCUCAGACCCCCGCCCCCCCCCCCCCCCCACUGCUUCUGGCCAGCUCACCAAGGUCAACCAUGACUCCACGAGACUAAAUUCAAAGGGCACUUCUCAGUGUUCAUCUCGCCUGACCUCUCGACAGCACCCUGCCCCACUGACCACUCGCUCCUCCUUCACAUGCCUGUCUUCUCUCCAUCCCCGCAGCCUCACUCCAGGUCUCUCUCCUACCUCUCAAGCCCCUUCUCACCAGAUUCCCAGGGACCACCCCGCCACAUGCUGCCCCCCAACAUGAAGCAUUAGCCAGCUGGGGCUCCAUCCGGGCCCUCUUCCUCCCUCUUGGCUCUGGCUCCCUGAGAUUUGCCAUUUCUCAGCCUUCAAAACUCCCAUUUUCAGAGGUCCCUUGAAGCGCUGGCGAAUCUGCACAGGCCUCCUGGAUUCUUCCGCCUGGAUGCCUACACACGCCUGAUACAACAGAUUUCUAACUAGACUCGUUGACUUGCCCUUUCAGACCUGGUCCUGAAUCGUAGAAAAUAGUACCACCAUCUACCUGGGCCCAGAGCCAUAACCCACAGUCUCCCACCUCCCCAGUUCCAUAGUAGCCAGGCAGAUCACCACUCUUUCUCCACUGCUUGUAGCCCAUUCUCCCUUCUUCCCCUUCCUGCUGCCUGGGUUUAGGCCAUUACUGCCUGUAAGGCUGCCCCAAUCUCUCGCUGGUCUCCUUUCACCCUGCUCUGCACCCCCAGGGACCUUUCUGAAGCAUACAUUUGAUCAUGUCAUUCCUCUGAUUAAAAUCCUCUCUCCCCAGGCAACCAGAGGGAGGCACCUUACUAAGGAUGGAGACUGCACACACGGGGGCAUUUAAAACCUCCAACUUGGCUAGCUAUUCCCAGAGCUGCUGGGCUCCACUCUGUGGUCAUGAGUCUGUGGGAGAGGGGAGCCAGCAAGGAAGCCAAACACAUAGUAGGGCCUUGUCCCAAAGCCAGCCAGGGUCAGAGCCACUGCAGAACCCGGGGAUCCAGGCCCAGCACCGACUGAUCCCCUACUCCAGUCACUGUCCCACUUGCCUAACAGCAUCCCCUGAGCCUAUCACAAAGUAGGCAAGACCAGACACACUCCAUGUGUGGCACCCGUGGGUGGUAUGGUUCUGGUCAGUCGACUGGGCGAAAAAAGGUGAAAGGCAGCCUGGCCUUGGUAAGAAGAGGGGAGGAAGAAGUGGGGUCCCAAGGUCUGGGCAGGAUCUCUAUCUGGUGCACCCUCCCUCCUGGCCUGGCUGCACAGGAAGUGCUGAGGAGCUACUGUACUCGAGAACAGGUCAGCCUGACCACUCGGUCCCACGUUCAUCCCUGUCCAGCCGUCCUGCCUGCCAGCAGCUCUGAGCAGGGAACCCGUGGGUCCGAGAGACGAUGAGCCCAGAUGCAGCCUCUCUGACCAUCCCCCCAGUGUCAGACCGACCCCCACACAUUCAGCUCAAGAUGCUUGUCGCCCACCACACCCCAGACACACACUAAUGCGUGCACACACACACAGACACUGCAUGGUGUGGAGUGUAUACCACCUACUGUAUACACACCCCCUACAGUGCUCAUGGGCACACAGGCACGCACACAGGCACACACAGUCUGCUGCGCACCCCGUGCUGUACAUGUAGCACGUAAGGCACACACCCGCUGCAUUAACACCAUGCCACGCACCUCACACAAUGCCUUACCCAGGCACACGGGGCACCCACAGCACACGCAGGGUUCCUGUCAUCUGCUGCAUCCAUGAUCACAAGGCAAACGCUGCCACCUGCACUCUGAGCCGGGCCCCUCCGGGACAGAGUCAGAAACGGCCCAUUCCUGCUCUUGGGCUCACCCGCCCCCCCCCAAGUCCUCCACCUCUCCCCCCCCCUUCCAUGGCCCUCCAGAACCUACCCAAGUCACCAGGGCCCUGCCCACAUCUCUGCUGUCUGGCCUCCUCCGGGGCUUUCCUGACCACUGUCCUGCCUGGCUUGGAACCCACUGGCUCAGCUGAAUCGUAACCUCCAGAAUGAGCUCUAAGACCCUCACUCCCCCCACCUCCUGGAGGGAAAGGCCAAGAAGCAAAGCCUGCCUCCCCUCCCCCUCCCUCCAGAGGGAAAAUGUCAGAUUCUCUGUCUCAGUGGCGGCAGCGGGCGGGUUGGAGGGGGAGUGAUUCAGCCGCUGCCUCAAGAGUGCGGAGUGAGAAGAGCUUUUCCUGCCAUUACCGGGCGAGGGAGAGGCUGGCGCGCUAAUGGCUUCAAUUACCACUCAGACAGGAACACUGGGCGGCAGGGCCCUGUGCUCGUCACAGCCUGGACAGGCUCACCCCCAGUCAGCUUGUGCUGGGCACCCCUACCCCGUCCACAGCCAUGGGUGUGGGGGGAGGGCAGGCAGCCGGCUGCACACCACAGGGCAGCUGGGGCACACUGGGCCACACCUGGUCACACGGGGAGUGGCAGUCCUGUCGGGGAGCUGGGUGCAAAGGCCGGGACCAGGGAGAGGCUCAGGGAGCCUUAGGCAGUGUGGGGUGUUUCCCGAGCCACGUAUGGGGGAGGCUGGGCCUGUUGCGGAACAACACAGGACAGGGGGGAACAGGACCAGACUCGCAGGCCUGGGCUCCCUUUUGGGGGUACACCAAUUCCUCCCCUGAGCCAGGUCGCCGCAGGCGGCCCUCAGCCACUCCUCUGAAAAGCUCAAUGCGCAGUAAGCAUGGCCGUGUACUGGUGCUUUGGGCCUACAUGCAGUGUGUGACACCGGAAGAGGACUCCACUCUUAUUCCUGUCCCCCAAACCAGCUUCAUCCUCACCCCAGGCUUCCUGAGAACCUGUGGUGGCCUCCCGGGAUCGGCCCUGGCUCUCCUCCCAGUCACACUAUCCUUUCUCCCUGCUCCCUCCACACCCCCCAACUUUCCAGGCCUGCACAGGAGGGCAGGGAGGGGUGGGAUGGUCGCUGUCUGGGCUGCUUCCUCCUGGCCCCACCUCCUGGCCCCUUUGAGGCCUCCUACUCCACUCCUUUCUGCCAAGCCAGGAGCCUGGUCAAGGUUACACAGACCAACACGUCUCAGAAGAUGCCCUCUUGGGCAGGAGCCACAGUUCUGGCCCUUCAGCCAGAUGCCUGGAUGCCAGGGUAGGACAAAAGGCUCCCCGCUGGGGCAGAUGCCAACAGGAGGGAAGACAAGGCUGAACUACUUGUUCCCUGGUUAGAGGACAGAAACUGAGCUCAGGGCACUUGGCAACCAGUGGUCCUGGCCCAACGCCUGUCCUCUGGGGCCCUGCUCCACAGGGGAGUCCCCUCCAUGGGAAUGGACCAUGGGGCCGCAUCACCUGGAUGAUGCCAUGGGAGCCAGGUACUGCCAGGAUGUACAACUUCCAGCACAAUAGCAGCUACCGGUCGCUGGAUCCUGCAAGUUCCAAGCAAGAGGACAAAGGCAUGCUGAGUGCUGCCUGGAAGAGCCCCAGCACCUCUCAGACUGGUCCCUCCCCCACUGCUCUCCAUCUGGGGGAUGGUACCUCCAUCUACCCCAAGGCUCAAGCCAGAAACCGUGAUUCCUCCUCUCUCAGCCCCCACAUACCAGCAGUCCUGAAAGGCCUAGACAUUCCACCUCUUUAAGUGUCUCUGGACGUCUUCCCAGGCCAAUGAACAGCUCCAGAAAGGCUAAUACCGUGAGAAAUGACCUUUCAGACCACCUGCUCAGUACCAAUGAGCCCAGGCCUGACCUGAUCUCUGGCACAGAAACACGUGUGUGCAGUGAUGACCAUCCCUCGCUAAGCACCCACUCCACACCAGACGUGAAAGACAACGUUUAAAUGCUGCUGGGAAGGAGGAGGCAGACAGGGAGAGCGUGCCGACCCAGGAUCCAGUGGACAGCGAUGGGCGCAGUCCCGCAGGAGGGGAGGGUCCGGGGACGAGUGGGGUCAGCAGUUACAGAGUAAGAGGGCUUAGCCUUGCAGCGAGCAGGAAGGGAACCACUUUAUCCAGCACCCAGGGGCCCGGCAGGCUCUGCAAGUUUUAUGUAAUUUUUACGCAAGUCACUCAUCAUCUCUGAGCCUCUGUUUUCUCAUCUGCAAAAUGGUGCCAGGGCCCACGGGUCUGUGUGGACAGAAUGUGAUGAGGGCUGUCGAGGGCGUGCACAGGCAUGACGGUUGGUGGGUCCUGCGUGGGAGGCAGCUGCUGCUCUCACUUGAAGUCUUAAAACAAUGAUGUGGGGGCACCUGUGUGGUCCAGUCAGUCAGGCAUCUGACUCUUGGUUUUGGCUCAGGUCAUGAUCUCACAGGUUCGUGACUCGAGCCUCAUGUUGAGCUCUACGCUCAGCGCAGCACUUGCUUGGGACUCUCUCCCUCUCUCUCUGCCCCUCCCCUGCUUGCUCGUGCGCGCGCGCUCUCUCUCUCUCUCUCUCUUAAAAAUAAAUACUUUAUAAAGAAAACAAAACAAAAUGACGUGGGUAGUAGUAUCAUCUUCAUUUUAAGAGAUGAGGAAAUGGAGGCUCGGAAGGUUAAGUAACAAGUCACACAGUGAUGGGGGGGUGGAGCUAGGGUUUGAUUGGUGUUUCCAAUCCUAAGCUCUUCCUGCAGCACUGAAGGCUCCCUGGAGGAGGGAAACUCAGGCCUCCCCACCUGACUGCUUGCGGAGUACUUAGAGGGGGUGGGAGCAGCUGGGCCCGAAGAGCCAGGGGCAGCCUUGGUGGGGAAACACAUACCCUUGGUGAGGGUCAGAGUGGCAUGGGAAUAACGUAGAGGGCCUAGAAGCUACAAUUUGCUCCCCAUUUCCUCCGACUGCGCCCUGAAAGAGGCUCCAGACUCUCCCAGUCUGCCGCUGUCCGCAGAACAUGUCCCUGUUUGCCGGUCCUUUCAGACGGGGCCUCCUUGGUCCUCUCGGACAGGACUCUGCCCACUCAGGCUCCACUGGGUGUGCACCUCCCCGAUGCCCAAGGACCUGACGACAGCAGCUCCAUGAUCUCCUUCUGCACUGCCACUACCUUAGUCCAGAUGCCACCUUCCCUUGACUGAAGAUGAAGAUUCGGCCUGACCAGCAAGCUGCGUCCCUGCCUCCAGUCUAGUGUCUGUUCAGCAGCCCGAGUGAACUGCCCCUCUCCUCUGACCAAAACCCUGCAGAGGCCUCCCACUGCUAUCAAAACAAAACUUCAACUCCUCUCAGGGUGGACAGAGCCUCGCCAGGUCUGACCCCAGCCACUCCCCACCCGCCCCCCACCCCAGCCCUGGCUUCCCAGCCCCUGGAGGAGUGACGUUCCCUGUGGCCUCAGGACCCUUGGAGUAGCUGUUCCUGCUGCCACAAACCUUUUAGACAUCCUCUUCACCCACGAACUCCUAUUCACCUUCCUGAUCUCAACUUAAACAUCAUUUCCUCAGAAAACCUUCCUUGGUCUCCCUGUCGCCGUCCGCUGCUCCAUUAGCUCAGUUCCUGGCUUUAAGCUCUCUCUAACUCUCCCCGCCUCUCUCACAGCACUGCUCACAGUUUGUUACAUAGCACGUGUGUGAGGUUAUUACUUUUUCUACAUUUGCGGGGCGGGGAGUAUCUGGUUCACAGCCGCUUCCUCACCCUGCUUUGCUUCCUGCCCCGUCCCAGUUGCCCGACCCAGUUCCUGGCACACGGGGGUGUAGAACAAAUGAAGGGGUGACCUGACGAGGGAAGGCAUGCCUGCGGAGGAUGGAGACCGCAGCCCCUCACACGCCAGGGGGAAGCCCGCUCCACCAGGGAGAGGAGCCCAGGGCGGAAACCCUCCUGGACUCCUGCCUCAACGUGUCCGCAGCAGAAAGCAGAGGCUGGAACCUGCUGAACCGGAAUGGCCGGAGAGCGCGCCUGGGGGCGGGGCCUCCCCACCAAACAAAGAACCAGAAGCUGGGGAG